UACGGAAGGCAGCAGUGAGGAAUAUUGGUCAAUGGGUGCAAGCCUGAACCAGCCAUCCCGCGUGAAGGACGACUGCCCUAUGGGUUGUAAACUUCUUUUGUAUAGGGAUAAACCUACCCUCGUGAGGGUAGCUGAAGGUACUAUACGAAUAAGCACCGGCUAACUCCGUGCCAGCAGCCGCGGUAAUACGGAGGGUGCAAGCGUUAUCCGGAUUUAUUGGGUUUAAAGGGUCCGUAGGCGGACUUAUAAGUCAGUGGUGAAAGCCUGUCGCUUAACGAUAGAACUGCCAUUGAUACUGUAAGUCUUGAGUAUAUUUUGAGGUAGCUGGAAUAAGUAGUGUAGCGGUGAAAUGCAUAGAUAUUACUUAGAACACCAAUUGCGAAAGGCAGGUUACCAAGAUAUAACUGACGCUGAGGGCGAAAGCGUGGGGAGCGAACAGGGAUUAGAUACC
rnacentral:rRNA from 1 species